rnacentral:rRNA from 1 species
GUCACUGCUAUUGGGAUUCGACUAAGCCAUGCGAGUCGAGAGGGUUCGGCCCUCGGCUGACGGCUCAGUAACACGUGGAUAAUCUGCCCUUAGGUGGAGGAUACCCUCGGGAAACUGAGAAUAAUACUCCAUAGGUCUGGGAUGCUGGAAUGCACCUAGGCUCAAAGUUCCGACGCCUAAGGAUGAGUCUGCGGACUAUCAGGUUGUAGUCAGGGUAAUGACCUGACUAGCCUACGACGGAUAUGGGUUGUGAGAGCAAUAACCCAGAGAUGAUAUCUGAGACACGAUAUCAGGCCCUACGGGGCGCAGCAGGCGCGAAAACUUCACAAUGUGCGAAAGCACGAUGAGGGAAUCCCAAGUGCUUGCACGUAAGUGUAAGCUGUUUCUAUGUUUAAAACGCAUGGAGAGUAAGGGCUGGGUAAGACGGGUGCCAGCCGCCGCGGUAAUACCUGCAGCUCAAGUGGUGGCCGCUAUUAUUGGGCCUAAAACGUCCGUAGCCGGCUUAAUAAAUGCCUGGGUAAAUCGUGUAGCUUAACUAUACGAAUUCCGGGUAGACUGCUAAGCUUGAGACCGGGAGAAGUUAGAGGUACUCCUGGGGUAGAGGUGAAAUUCUGUAAUCCUAGGGGGACCACCAGUGGCGAAGGCGUCUAACUAGAACGGGUCUGACGGUGAGGGACGAAGCCCUGGGGCGCAAACCGGAUUAGAUACCCGGGUAGUCCAGGGUGUAAACGCUGCUUGCUUGAUGUUAGUCGGGCUCCGAGCCCGAUUAGUGUCGGAGAGAAGUUGUUAAGCAAGCUGCCUGGGAAGUACGGUCGCAAGACUGAAACUUAA